CUCCAUUUGAAACCACCACCACGGCCGCCCCCAAACGGUCACCACCACCGCGACGGCUCCGAAGACCGAAGGCCAAAGCGCUCGCCCCCAUCCUCCUAGCCAGCCCGACCGAUCCGGCGGAGGGCGCUCUACGGCGGCGCCAUGGCCUCCCCCAACCCCGCCGCGGCCGACGCGGCGGGGCUGCAGAAGAAGAUGGAGGCCGCGGCGGGGGGAAGCGAGGGGCCGCCGCCCGCAUACGGCGCGGCGGUCGCGGAGCAGGCCCCGCCCAGGAGGCUCGCGCCGGCGCGGAAGGAGCGCGUCUGCACCGCCAAGGACCGCAUCAGCCGCAUGACGCCCUGCGCCGCCGGGAAGCGCAGCUCCAUCUACCGCGGGGUCACCCGGCAUAGAUGGACAGGGCGAUACGAGGCUCACCUUUGGGACAAAAGCACAUGGAAUCAGAAUCAGAACAAAAAAGGGAAACAAGUAUAUUUGGGCGCAUAUGAUGAUGAAGAGGCUGCGGCAAGAGCCUAUGAUCUUGCUGCAUUGAAAUACUGGGGAGCUGGAACACAGAUAAAUUUUCCUGUCUCCGAUUAUACAAGAGAUGUUGAAGAGAUGCAGAUGAUCUCCAAGGAGGACUAUCUUGUAUCUCUUCGAAGAAAGAGCAGUGCCUUCUCUAGGGGAUUACCAAAAUAUCGUGGGCUUCCCAGGCAGCUCCAUAAUUCCAGAUGGGAUGCUUCUUUGGGACAACUACUUGGCAAUGACUACAUGAACCUCAGUUGUGGAAAGGGCAUCGCACUGGAUGGAAAAUUUGCAGGAAGCUUUGGGUUAGAGAGGAAAAUUGAUCUAACAAAUUACAUUAGGUGGUGGGUACCCAAAAAGACACGGCAAUCAGAUACAUCAAAAGCAGAAGAGGUUGCUGAUGAAAUCCGUGCUAUAGAAGGUUCAGUGCAACUGACUGAGGCCUAUAAGCUGCCUACUCUUGGCCUCGGUUCCCAUUCAAACCCCUCUUCAGCGGGGCUAUCUGCGUGCAGUAUCUUAUCUCAGUCUGGUGCCUUCAAAAGCUUCUUGGAGAAGUCUACAAAAUUAUCUGAAGAAUGUACAUUUAGCAAAGAAAUAGAUGAAGGAAAGGUUGUUGUGUCAGUACCUACUACUGGACAUCAUACAUCUCCAGUUGACAUUAACAUGAAUGGGUUGCUAGUACAAAGAGCUCCGUACACAUUGGCCCCUGUUAUGCCUACACCAAUGAAAAGUACCUGGAGCCCUGCCGAUCCUUCCGCGGACCAUCUAUUUUGGAGCAACUUCAUCUUGCCAUCGAGUCAACCUGUCACAAUGGCGACAAUAACGACAACAACGUUUGCAAAGAAUGAGGUGAGUUCAAGUGAUCCAUUCAAGAGCCAGGAGUAUGAACAUACCAAAUAGCGAGGAUAUUUUAGCUGCAGGUUGAUGACAAUGUCGUUCACCUCCGGCGUGUUUCGUGCCGCCAAUCUUUUGAUGUGGCGGCUUGUGAGCAAUACUCUUUGUAUCCAUACUUCACAGAACAUGCAUAGAAGGUAAGAAAAUCAUAGUUAUGUAAUAUACAGUGGCUAAUGCCCAGGAAACAAUGUCUAGCUGUAAAGCCGUCUGUAUAUAUUGCUGUUGUCUACAGAUUUGAGGAAGAGAACAGAAAUAGGAAUGUGCUUUUUGUAUGCUUAGUUGCUUAUCUUGUGCAAAUAUUUCGACUUUUGAGUUAAAGAAC
rnacentral:rRNA from 1 species